rnacentral:snoRNA from 1 species
UUGAAUAGCAAAUGGAGUCCUUGAAGAAAAGUAGUCCCUGCUGUUAGCCUACAAAAUGAAAAGGGAGAGAGAAACACUCUUCAAAACAAAUUCCAGACCUACUUAUCUACCAAUAACA